rnacentral:rRNA from 1 species
AUUGAACGCUGGCGGCAGGCUUAACACAUGCAAGUCGAGCGGGGGAGGUUGCUUCGGUAACUGACCUAGCGGCGGACGGGUGAGUAAUGCUUAGGAAUCUGCCUAUUAGUGGGGGACAACAUUCCGAAAGGGAUGCUAAUACCGCAUACGCCCUACGGGGGAAAGCAGGGGAUCCUCGGACCUUGCGCUAAUAGAUGAGCCUAAGUCGGAUUAGCUAGUUGGUGGGGUAAAGGCCUACCAAGGCGACGAUCUGUAGCGGGUCUGAGAGGAUGAUCCGCCACACUGGGACUGAGACACGGCCCAGACUCCUACGGGAGGCAGCAGUGGGGAAUAUUGGACAAUGGGCGGAAGCCUGAUCCAUCCAUGCCGCGUGUGUGAAGAAGGUCUUCGGAUUGUAAAGCACUUUAAGUUGGGAGGAAGGGUCGUUACCUAAUACGUGGCGAUUUUGACGUUACCGACAGAAUAAGCACCGGCUAACUCUGUGCCAGCCGCCGCCUGUAAUAC